rnacentral:rRNA from 1 species
CCCAGACUCCUACGGGAGGCAGCAGUGGGGGAUAUUGCACAAUGGGGGGAACCCUGAUGCAGCGACGCCGCGUGGGUGAAGGAGCGUUUCGGCGCGUAAAGCCCUAUCGGCAGGGAAGAAGGAGGACGGUACCUGACUAAGAAGCCCCGGCUAACUACGUGCCAGCAGCCGCGGUAAUACGUAGGGGGCAAGCGUUAUCCGGAUUUACUGGGUGUAAAGGGGGCGCAGACGGCAGCGCAAGCCAGGAGUGAAAGCCCGGGGCCCAACCCCGGGACUGCUCUUGGAACUGCGCGGCUGGAGUGCAGGAGGGGCAGGCGGAAUUCCUGGUGUAGCGGUGAAAUGCGUAGAUAUCAGGAGGAACACCGGUGGCGAAGGCGGCCUGCUGGACGACAACUGACGGUGAGGCGCGAAAGCGUGGGGAGCAAACAGGAUUAGAUACCCCCGUAAA